rnacentral:pre_miRNA from 1 species
UCUUAUGAAUGAACGAAGAAAGUGGUUUGUUGAAAUGAAAUCUACUCUUGGUGAAGCUGUUGUGAA